rnacentral:rRNA from 1 species
UGAGGAAUAUUGCGCAAUGGGGGCAACCCUGACGCAGCAACGCCGCGUGAGUGAGGAAGGUUUUCGGAUUGUAAAGCUCUGUCGAGCGGAAAGAAAUGCAUUAUGGCUAAUAUCCAUAGUGCUUGACGGUACCGCUAAAGGAAGCACCGGCUAACUCCGUGCCAGCAGCCGCGGUAAUACGGGGGGUGCAAGCGUUGUUCGGCAUCAUUGGGCGUAAAGCGCGUGUAGGCGGAUUGACAAGUCAGAUGUGAAAUCCCUGGGCUUAACUCAGGAAGUGCAUUUGAAACUGGCAGGCGAGAGUAAGGGAGAGGAAAGUGGAAUUCCUGGUGUAGAGGUGAAAGUCGUAGAUAUCAGGAGGAACACCGGUGGCGAAGGCGACUUUCUGGCCCUAUACUGACGCUGAGGCGCGAAAGCGUGGGUAGCAAACA